UUUAUACGUCGAAUUUUGGUCGCGUCGAAUGCAAUUCAAACAAUCGAUAACGAGAUGAUAAACCUCAUUAAGCAUCAUUAUCUAUUGUUUGAAUUGCAUUCGACGCGACCAAAAUUCGACGUACAAA